rnacentral:rRNA from 1 species
GACGAACGCUGGCGGCGUGCCUAAUACAUGCAAGUCGAGCGAAGUUUUUCUGGUGCUUGCACCGGAAAAACUUAGCGGCGAACGGGUGAGUAACACGUAAAGAACCUGCCUCAUAGACUGGGACAACUAUUGGAAACGAUAGCUAAUACCGGAUAACAGCAUUAACUGCAUGGUUGAUGUUUAAAAGUUGGUUUUGCUAACACUAUGAGAUGGCUUUGCGGUGCAUUAGCUAGUUGGUGGGGCAAAGGCCUACCAAGGCGACGAUGCAUAGCCGACCUGAGAGGGUGAUCGGCCACACUGGGACUGAGACACGGCCCAGACUCCUACGGGAGGCAGCAGUAGGGAAUCUUCCGCAAUGGGCGAAAGCCUGACGGAGCAACGCCGCGUGAGUGAAGAAGGAUUUCGGUUCGUAAAGCUCUGUUGUUAGGGAAGAAUGAUUGUGUAGUAACUAUACACAGAG